GUUGUAAACUUUUAUCAGUUAUAUAUGUGGUAUAAUCUCAUAUCAUCUACAAACAACAAUAAGGUAGACAACUCUUGUGGGGAUUAACAUUAGAAUCCAACCUAGUGUAUCAAACAGGACAAUCUACUCAGGGUUGUUCAUGUUUGACCCCAGAAACAUUAUCAGUAAUCCUUAAAAGACAUGAACAUUAAUUUAGUUAAACAUAACUUGAUUGCUUCUUAGUCCAAGUCAGUAUGUUCAACAUUAAAUAUAUCAAGUUUCUUUUGCCUCUGUAUCUCUAUAAAUUAUCCUG
rnacentral:lncRNA from 1 species